GUCAGGUGUGGUGGCUCACACCUGUAAUCCCAGUACUUUGGGAGGCUGAGGCAGGAGGAUUGCUCGAGCCUAGGAGUUCAAGAUUGGUCUAGGCAACAUGGCAAAACCCCAUCUCUACAAAAAAUAAAAAAAUUUGCUGGGCAUGGUGGCACAUGCCUGUAGUCCCAGCUACUUAGGAGGCUGAGGUGGGAGGAUCGAUUGAGCCAGGGAGUUUCAGGCAGCAGUGAGCCAUGAUCGUGCCUCUGCACUCCAGCCUGGGCAACAGAGCAAGACCCUGUCUCA
rnacentral:sRNA from 1 species